rnacentral:ncRNA from 1 species
GAGCAGGUGAGUUGAUCACCCCGGACGAGGCGCGUCGUACCCGGUAUGACAAGACGGCGCAGU